rnacentral:rRNA from 1 species
GGGAUUAGAUACCCCACUAUACUUAGCCAUAAACCUAGAUGGGCACCACACCACCCCAUCCGCCAGAGAACUACGAGUAAAAAACUUAAAACUCAAAGGACUUGACGGUGCCCCACACCAACCUAGAGGAGCCUGUCCUAUAAUCGAUACCCCACGCUUAACCUCUCCCCCUCUCGCACCAAAUCAGCCUAUAUACCGCCGUCGCCAGCCUGCCUAGUGAUAGACACACAGCAGACAAGACAGUUACACCCACUAGCACGUCAGGUCAAGGUGUAGCUAAUGGGGGGGCCUGAGAUGGGCUACAUUUUCUAACGACAAGAAAACACCACAAGCCUUAUGAAACCAAGGCCACCCGGUGGAUUUAGCAGUAAACCCGGGCGAGAAAUGCCCAAUUGAAGCAUGCUCUGGGGCGCGUACACACCGCCG